rnacentral:rRNA from 1 species
GACGAACGCUGGCGGCGUGCUUAACACAUGCAAGUCGAACGGUAAGGCCCUUCGGGGUACACGAGUGGCGAACGGGUGAGUAACACGUGGGUGAUCUGCCCUGCACUUCGGGAUAAGCCUGGGAAACUGGGUCUAAUACCGGAUAGGACCAUUGCCUGCAUGGGUGGUGGUGGAAAGCUUUUGCGGUGUGGGAUGGGCCCGCGGCCUAUCAGCUUGUUGGUGGGGUGAUGGCCUACCAAGGCGACGACGGGUAGCCGGCCUGGGGGGGUGACCGGCCACACUGGGACUGAGAUACGGCCCAGACUCCUACGGGAGGCAGCAGUGGGGAAUAUUGCACAAUGGGCGCAAGCCUGAUGCAGCGACGCCGCGUGAGGGAUGACGGCCUUCGGGUUGUAAACCUCUUUCAGCAUCGACGAAGCGCAAGUGACGGUAGGUGCAGAAGAAGGACCGGCCAACUACGUGCCAGCAGCCGCCGUAA